rnacentral:rRNA from 1 species
GACGGGGAGCACCACAACAGGUGGAGCCUGCGGUUUAAUCGGACUCAACGCCGGGAAGCUCACCGGAUAAGACAGCGGAAUGAUAGUCGGGCUGAAGACUCUACUUGACUAGCUGAGAGGAGGUGCAUGGCCGUCGUCAGUUCGUACUGUGAAGCAUCCUGUUAAGUCAGGCAACGAGCGAGACCCACGCCAACAGUUGCCAGCUCGUCCUCCGGGAUGGUGGGGACACUGUUGGGACCGCCUCUGCUAAAGAGGAGGAAGGAAUGGGCAACGGUAGGUCAGCAUGCCCCGAAUUAUCUGGGCUACACGCGGGCUACAAUGGGUGGGACAAUGGGUAUCGACACCGAAAGGUGAAGGCAAUCUCCUAAACCCAUCCGUAGUUCGGAUUGUGGGCUGCAACUCGCCCACAUGAAGCUGGAAUCUGUAGUAAUCGUGUCUCAAAAUGGCACGGUGAAUAUGUCCCUGCUCCUU